rnacentral:lncRNA from 1 species
AAAGCUUUAAAGAGUCCGCUAAAAUGAAAUAUUCCUUUUAAACUUUGAAAACGCUAACUUUACUAUUUUCCUUUACAAUUUAACCUUUAAAUAAAUGAAGUUUCUAAGAAAAAUUAACCAUUUUGACUAAAAUAAAAUAACGAGCAAAUAAAAAUACCAACUGUAAGAACCAAAAGUUUAAGCAGAACUGACGACCAAGCGUCGAAAUUACGUCAAUGUUGGAUUGUUGGAUUGUUGGAUGGUUGGAUGGUUGGAUGGUUGGAUUGUUGGAUCGCGCGCUUGCCGUCCAACCAAAUAUUUGAAUUCUUAAAUAAAUUACAAAAAUCACAAUAAUAUACAAUUUUAGUAACCUUUAUAUAAUAAACAAAGUUUGCAUGGUACUAAACAAAAUUUCUAUAGUAACUAAAAAUACAACAAUAUAUACAGCGCCACCGGAAGUCACAAUACGUAAACAACAUUGCGAAAAGUUAUGUGUGUCACCGGCGGACCAAAAUGAUAAAUAUCAAGGAUAGUGAGCAUUAACAUCUACAAAACAUUGAAGACGUUGACUACAAAUACUAAAAGGAAUUACAAGAAGUAUGUGAAAACAGUUGCCAACACGUAAAAAUAGUGUUUUUAUUGAACAAUCGUCCCAAGUGACACAUGGAUUCUACUGCGCAUGUCAAUACAUUUCAUUCAUAAAAUUCAAGCACAGGUGCGUGGAAUUUACUACGAUUUACUACGAUUUCUACAAUUGGAUUAUCACAAAAAAUACAAGACAUACAGUUGGAUUAUUCAGUGGAUUAUUACUAUGAACUGGUAAAUUAUUACAUGAACUUCAACUGGUUUAUCAAAUAUAUGCAAAUGACAGUAAUUCAAUAUUUUCUACAAGAAUCAUAAUAUUGUAAUUGUUCUUAACUUUACUUUAUUAAAUGUUAAUUAAAACUUAUUUGCUUCAAUUAUCAUAUGUUCCAGACUACAAGCAUUACAAGUAGUAUAAUACAAGUUAUUUCACACAGUUACUGUUUCCUACAUAAUAACUUUCAUAAAAAAUACAGAAUAUUAAACAGUAUGCUUUAUUAAUACCAAUUUAAAACAUACAUCAAAAAUAUCUUACAUGUCUAUAACACGUCACAAUAAAAUACAUGAAAAUACAUGUACCCUAGUCGUCGUACUCUACAUUUUACCCCCUUUCCAUUAUUUGCGUCCCCGCAAAUACUUUAAACUUUUGCAAAAGUUUCCAUUUCAAAUUUUUCUAUGUCUUGAAUACAUAUUCUUCUUAAAAAGAAAUUAUUUCUAAAACUGAAUGAAAUUAGCUUUCUUAUUAAUACAAUCUAUGAUUAUAACACAAAUACAUCAUAAUAUAAUACCAAAUAUGUAAAAAUUAUACAUAAUUAUAUGUUUAUUCUUUUUAUAUAUUUUACAGAUACACCAGAAGAUUCAACAUUGUGACCAUCAGCAUGAGGGCGGUAGAUACCAGAUAAACAUACAUAUAUACCAAAUGUGGAAAAUUACUGAACGUUAUGAACAAACUGGAACAUGGCUAAGAACCAGAGGUUUCUGAAGGAAAAUUUUAGUUACCAUGCAAACAGUACCAAAAUAUUUAAAUAUAAGUUCAAAAAAUACAC